rnacentral:lncRNA from 1 species
GUUUCAGCAGUAGCAUAUUGUUCCAUGGAGCUAAGGUCCAAAAUAUGGAAGAAACAGGUGUUUCCACGACUCUACCACCCAGUCAAUUCUCUUCCACUUAAUCCCUAUUUCAUGGCCACAUAUCUUUCCGGCUAAGUAAUGGGAAACCUUUCUCCUGUUACAUGAAUCCAAUUUUCAUUUCAUCCGGAAAAAGCCAUCUUUUUCUCAACAAUGUCUUUGUCAUUUGAUCCAAUAGCGUUCCGUUAGAUAGGAACAGAUUUGAUAAAUACUGAUAACUCUCGGAUGGAGUAUUAGAACGGAAAAAUCCAUUAGAUAAUGAACUAUUGGUUCUAAGCCAUCUCUGGCGAUGAAUCAACAAUUCGAAGUGCUUUUCUUGCGUAUUCUUGAUAAACCAGCGUUUAUAUAUAGAUGUAGGAGGAUCUGGUUGGGAAGUAAGAAGCCCCUUUGACAUCUCUUCAUCUGCAAAGAAUUCUCGGUGUGAAAACACAGAGACAAGGGGCUGAUCUUUGAAUAGGAAAAAGAGUGGAUCCGCAGGUUCCCAAAUGAAUUGGCUUAUUCGAAAAAAGCCUUGUUCGUUGGAAGAUCUAUCUCGUGUCUGGUACUGCAUGGUUCUACUCUGCAAGAACUCCGAAUCAUUCUCUUGAAGCUCAUCCUUUUCAUCAUAAAUGAUCCGCUUGCCCCGAAAUGACCCGGCCCGAUAGGGAAAUCCCAAUUCAUUGGGCCUUUCGAUACAAUCAAAUAGAAAGCCCCAGGGGCGCCAUAUUCUAGGAGCCCAGACUAUGUGAUUGAAUAAAUCCUCCUCUAUCUGUUGCGGGUCGAGGACUCCUUCUCCUUCCCCUUCUUCAAACUCCGAUUCGUAUUUUUCAUAGAGAAAUCUCUGAUCAACGAUAGAACAAGAUCCUUUUUGCAUCAUAUCUAAGGGAUUCCUUGGUUCGGGCCGAAGAAGCAAUGUCACUCGAUCAUUAUCAAACCGACUGCAAUCUUUUUCUGUCCGCGAGGAUCCCACCAGAGCGCCUUCUACUUCUAAUAGGCCAUGGACUAGAUCAGAAUCAUUCUCAACGAGUCCAGAAGAAGUGAUCCCGUUUUUUUCAGCGGGUCCGGGUAGAGACCAAAGGUCUUGAGCGACCGAUCCGGCAGAACAACUCAAAAGAUAAAGAAGUAUCGUUAAUUUCUUCAUGCUCGUUCCAAGUUCGAAGUACCAUUUGUACAAAUAAGAAUCCCCUUCGUUACACGAUUUCUUCUUCAUAUAGAUAGAUAUAGGAUCUAUGGGGCAAUUACUUAGAAGUACAUUUUGUGCAACAGCCCUCCCUAUCUGAUAGAAAAGGAUCCCAUGAUCUUGAACCGAUCUUACCUGGGAUCGCAAAUCCCAAGUUUGUCUAUGAAGAGCAGAUCUAAUUGUAUUAGUGUCUAUAAUUGAUUUCUUCUGUGUAAUACUAAUCGAUAGGGCCUCAUUGGUAAGUGCUACAAGAUCUCGUGCAUUGGAACCCAUGGUUAUGGACCCGAAUCCAUUAGUAUGGAACAUUUUCUUUUCCAAGUGAAAUCCCCUAGUAUAUGAAAGAGUGAAAAAGUGCUUUCGUUGUUGUGGAAUAAGAAGCCUUCGUAUCUUAAUGCAUGUAUUUAAUUUAUUCGGGCUAUUAGAGCGGGAUCCACUUUUUGGGGAAUAUGAGUCGAAGCAAUAACAAGAAUAUUUCUAGUGGAACAUCUUUCACAAUCCCUGGAGAGAUAGUUCACUAAUAGACCGAGGGAUAAGUAAUUCGACUCAUUCACAUCCAGAUCAUGAAUGUUUGGAAUCCAUAUUAUGCAAGGAGACAUUGCUUUUGCUAAUUCGAAUUGAAGGGUGAUAUAAAAUCGGCCUAUUUCCGACAUCAUAUCGAUAGUUAGCGCAUUCAUCAUAGUUAGAAGCUCCAGCUCCGUAUCAAGGUCACGAUCGAUAUCGUCACUAGCAUCAAUAUCGUCACUAGCAUCAUCGAUAUCAUCAAUAAGAAAACCUUUAGGCUUGUUAUCCAGGAACUUGUUCAGAAAUACUGUAAUGAAAGGAACAUAGGAGUUUGCCGCUAGGUAUUUGACCAAAUAGGAGCGUCCGGUUCCUAUAGAACCUAUCACUAAAAUACCCCUAGAGGGGGAUAGGGCUAGGCGGAGCGAAAAGGGUUUUCCAUGAGAUGGGAAAUGAAAACUAUUAGCCCCACACGAAGUUUGUGAAUAAGUGAUUGUCUGAUAAUGAGCAAGGAAUAUCCGUCUUUCUGCUAAACAGUAUGUAUUGAACUCAUAAUUCAUGAAAUGCUUUUUAUGAAUGUCAACUAAGUAUCGUAAGUAAAUUGUUCCCGGUUGUUCAAUCAUUUGAUAACCAGAGUCAUUCUUUGAUAAAUGAUCACUAUGAGUCAGACUCGAUAGAAUUUGAUCAAUCCUUUUUUCUGUCGUUAAGGUUAAGGUGGAGAACUGAACCAAGAAUUCUCUUUCUUUAUCAUCAAUCGAAUCACUGUUCGCGACCCAGGAUUCUAUU